rnacentral:misc_RNA from 1 species
UUAACUAUUAUGUAGUACUCAGACGACACUAAUAAUCAGGGUUUUGGGUCCUCUGGCAGGCGCUUACCAGCCGGAGCCGGUAGUCGGGCGUGAGCCUGACGGCCCGCCAAAGCAACAAAGUGAUAAUAACAUAGGGUGGGAGAUCUACCCGUAAGGGCAUGAACUCUGUAAUGAUCCCUCCGCAGGUUCACCUACGGAGA